rnacentral:rRNA from 1 species
GACGAACGCUGGCGGCGUGCUUAACACAUGCAAGUCGAACGAGACGAUUGAAAGCUUGCUUUUAAAAGUCGAGUGGCAAACGGAUGAGUAACGCGUAGACAACCUGCCUUUGAGAUGGGGACAACAGUUCGAAAGGACUGCUAAUACCGAAUGUUGUAUAUUUUCCACAUGGAAGAUAUAUUAAAGAUGGCCUCUAUUUAUAAGCUAUCGCUCAAAGAUGGGUCUGCGUCUGAUUAGCUGGUUGGUGGGGUAACGGCCUACCAAGGCGACGAUCAGUAGCCGGUCUGAGAGGAUGAACGGCCACAUUGGGACUGAGACACGGCCCAGACUCCUACGGGAGGCAGCAGUGGGGAAUCUUCCACAAUGGACGAAAGUCUGAUGGAGCAACGCCGCGUGAGUGAAGAAGGGUUUCGGCUCGUAAAGCUCUGUUGUCGGGGACGAAUGUGCAGUAUUUGAAUAAAGUACUGCAAUGACGGUACCUGACGAGGAAGCCACGGCUAACUAUGUGCCAGCAGCCGCAGUAACAC